UACGAAGGGGGCUAGCGUUGCUCGGAAUCACUGGGCGUAAAGCGCACGUAGGCGGCUUUUUAAGUCAGGGGUGAAAUCCUGGAGCUCAACUCCAGAACUGCCUUUGAUACUGAGAAGCUUGAGUCCGGGAGAGGUGAGUGGAACUGCGAGUGUAGAGGUGAAAUUCGUAGAUAUUCGCAAGAACACCAGUGGCGAAGGCGGCUCACUGGCCCGAUACUGACGCUGAGGCACGAAAGCGUGGGGAGCAACAGGG
rnacentral:rRNA from 1 species